UAAACCUCCUUAAAUCCCUCUUAAACCCUGCCAUACUGAGUAAAAAAUAAUACAUAGGAAAGCAGGCUGAAAUUUCCAUAGCCUUGUAACUGGUGACAUGAAGCUUCCUACCUAUGAGGUCAGGAAUGUAGCGCUAUAUUUAAUGUUUAUACCAUUGACACGUUAGUCUUUGAACGUCCUCUCGUACAGCUGGCUUUGCCUCUGAGGAAGUGCUGAGCAGUUGCAGGAAGAGUCUCCAGCCCUUGUCCGUCAUGAGUGGAUCUAGCGUCUAUGGAAACCUUCUGGUGAGAUCACAGGAGUGGUUCAGGCACUAGGUUACAUUGGUUAAGUCACUAGCCAGAUGUAGUGCAGAAGACUCCAGGAGUGACCGAACAAUUCAGUUUCCAGCUGCUGUUCAU
rnacentral:lncRNA from 1 species